rnacentral:rRNA from 1 species
CGCCUUGUGAUAAAAUAUACAAGGUCUAGCCUGCCCAGUGAUUUAUUUUAACGGCCGCGGUACCCUAACCGUGCAAAGGUAGCACAAUCACUUGUUCCUUAAAUAGGGACUAGUAUGAAUGGCAUCACGAGGGUUAUUCUGUCUCCCCCUUUUAAUCAAUGAAACUGAUCUUCCCGUGAAGAAGCGGGAAUAUUAAUAUAAGACGAGAAGACCCCAUGGAGCUUUAAACUCAGAAACACUAGCUAUCUAAUACAUCAAAUUAACCAAGCUUUUCUGAUUUCUCAGUUUUCGGUUGGGGUGACCACGGAGUACAACACAACCUCCCUGAUGAACGGAACUACUUUCCUUAUUCAAGAGUUCACAAUUCUAAAAAUCAAUAUAUUGACAAAAUUGAUCCAAAUUAUUUUGAUCAACGAACCAAGUUACCCUGGGGAUAACAGCGCAAUCCAUUUCAAGAGCCCAUAUCGACAAAUGGGUUUACGACCUCGAUGUUGGAUCAGGGUAUCCCAGUGGUGCAGCCACUACUAAAGGUUCGUUUGUUCAACGAUUAAAACCCU